GUAACGCGUAUACAACCUACCUUUUAGCGGGGAAUAGCCCAGGGAAACUUGGAUUAAUGUCCCAUAGUAUGGAGGUCUCUCCUGAGAUCAUCAUUAAACAUUUAUGGCUAUUAGAUGGGUAUGCGUCCUAUUAGUUAGUUGGUAAGGUAACGGCUUACCAAGGCAGCGAUAGGUAGGGGUCCUGAGAGGGAGAUCCCCCACACUGGUACUGAGACACGGACCAGACUCCUACGGGAGGCAGCAGUGAGGAAUAUUGGACAAUGGGCGAGAGCCUGAUCCAGCCAUGCCGCGUGCAGGAAGACUGCCCUAUGGGUUGUAAACUGCUUUUACAGAGGAAGAACCACUCCCACGUGUGGGAGUUUGACGGUACUCUGCGAAUAAGGAUCGGCUAACUCCGUGCCAGCAGCCGCGGUAAUACGGAGGAUCCGAGCGUUAUCCGGAAUCAUUGGGUUUAAAGGGUCCG
rnacentral:rRNA from 1 species